rnacentral:lncRNA from 1 species
UGGCAUCAUGGACAAAAUUUCAAGUUUUUAACAAGUUGACUUUUGGCCUUGAAGAACGUCCGUGGAGUAAACUGGAGCCAAAAGUUCAAGACCACAAAUUUUCAAGAUUAUUGGGUUUAAUUUCCAAUACAAAAAAUAUAUAUAUUUAACUAGAGAGGGGUAAAAGGGUGCAUAGGGGCCUAUUAUCCAAAAGAAAAACAUUCUCAAAAUAAUACAUAUCAUCGAUGAAGGGUGUUAAUUAGUUGAUCACCCUUCAAUCUAUAUAGCUAUAUCAUUUGCGGCCAUACUCAUGCUGAAUCCACCGGCUCUAGAUUAUUAUGAUAAUACUCGUAUUGAACCACCAACUCUAAAUCCUAGAUCCAACUCUACCUCAAUAAGGGACAAUAAUAUUGAAGUUUAGUAUGAGAGGAUUUUCUUUUUUGUUUUGAUUGGUUUGUUAUGUUCUCAUGUUUAGACCAAACAAACAAAAAAUGUACAAAAAAGCCAAAAAACAUAAAAUAAAAUAUUUUUUCUCUAGACAAGCAUGCAUGAUAAACUCCACCCAAAGGGAAAAAGUGCAAAUUAAUUAGAAGUACUCACUAAUAUUACUUGAGAUGGAAUUUUGUUGUUGGAUGGCAAUUCUUGGAUCAAACUGGCUAAAAAAACAAUUGAAUUUUUCACUAUAUAGAAUAAUGAUAAGAACAAUAAAGGGUAAUAAUAUUAAGAGGAAAUAAGAAAUACGAAUUUUCCUGAGAAAAUAAGAGGAAAAAUAAAAAGAAGAUGAAGGUGGCUUCAUUUUUUUUUGUUUUUAUUGGUUUAUUUGAUGCCUUUUGUAGCCACAUCUUUUUUU